rnacentral:lncRNA from 1 species
GGGAAUUAACAUCCCAAUUCCAUUUCCAGGAGUUUAUAGGGUUAAUGUAUCUUUUUGUGGGGUCCCUCUGUGUGAAGUGGAAGUUUAAGGGGACCUUGAAAUAUGAAGGUUUGCCCUUGUCAGGCACUGUUCAAAGAGCUGGGAAGCCAUUUCAAAUGCAACACUUUAUAGAGAAAGAAAGAAAGGAAAGAAAGGAAGGAAGAAAGAAAGGAAGGAAGAAAGAAAGGAAGAAAGAAAAAAAGAAAGAAAGAAAGAAAGAAAGAAAGAAAGAAAGAAAGAAAGAAAGAAAGAAAGAAAGAAAGAAAGACAGAAAGAAAGAAAGAAAGAAAGAAAGAAAGAAAGAAAGAAAGAAAGAAAGAAAGAAAGAAAGAAAGGAAGGAAGGAAGAAAGAAAGGAAGAAAGAAGGAAAGAAGGAAAGAAAGAAGGAAAGAAGGAAGGAAAGAAAGAAAGAAAGAAAGAAAGAAAGAAAGAAAGGAAGGAAGGAAGGAAGGAAGGAAGGAAGGAAGGAAGGAAGGAAGAAAGAAAGAAAGAAAGAAAGAAAGAAAGAAAGAAAGAAAGAAAGAAAGAAAGAAAGAAAGAAAGAAAGAAAGAAAGAAAGAAAGAAAGAAAGAAAGAAAGAAAGAAAGAAAGAAAGAAAGAAAGAAAGAAAGAAAGAAAGAAAGAAAUGUGUCCAGAAAAAAAACUGCAGCUUACAGGAAAACUCCUUAUUUAUAGGAAAAUAUAGCCCCAAGUUGAGUUGGCAUCAUCCUGACACAUUCAUCCUGGUCAUUCCAGCCUUCCUGAAGGGGAUAUCCUCCACAUUAACCUUUUUUAGCAAAUAGUCCAGGGUUGAAGUCAGGUUCUAAGGUAAAUACAAACCCAGCAGGGCUGAUUGGGAGAUUGCUACUCUGACAAGCCACUAUGGUGUUUUCCAGAGCUUCUAGCCCACAUGUUCUCUCAGGCAGGCAUCCCUUUGAAUGCAAAUUGCACUGGAUUAGUUAGUUAGUUAGUUAGAAGUUGGUUAGUAAGAAGUGAGGGAACUAAGAAUUCAAAUGAAAGCAUCCAAAGGUGUCUGAAAAAAACUGGGGAAGGGAGCUGUAGAAUAUGGAAGAGGCUAUUAGCCUAGCC